AUUGACGGGGACCUGCACAAGCGGUGGAUGAUGUGGUUUUAAUUCGAUGCAACGCGAAAAACCUUACCUACCCUUGACAUGUCAAGAAUCUUGCAGAGAUGUGAGAGUGCUCGAAAGAGAACUUGAACACAGGUGCUGCAUGGCCGUCGUCAGCUCGUGUCGUGAGAUGUUGGGUUAAGUCCCGCAACGAGCGCAACCCUUGUCAUUAGUUGCUACGAAAGGGCACUCUAAUGAGACUGCCGGUGACAAACCGGAGGAAGGUGGGGAUGACGUCAGGUCCUCAUGGCCCUUAUGGGUAGGGCUACACACGUCAUACAAUGGCCGGUACAGAGGGUUGCCAACCCGCGAGGGGGAGCUAAUCCCAGAAAACCGGUCGUAGUCCGGAUCGCAGUCUGCAACUCGACUGCGUGAAGUCGGAAUCGCUAGUAAUCGCGGAUCAGCUUGCCGCGGUGAAUACGUUCCCGGGUCUUGUACACACCGCCCGUCACACCAUGGGAGCGGGUUCUGCCAGAAGUAGUUAGCCUAACCGCAAGGGGGGCGAUUACCACGGCAGGGUUCGUGACUGGGGUGAAGUCGUAACAAGGUAACC
rnacentral:rRNA from 1 species